AAAUUGAAGAGUUUGAUCAUGGCUCAGAUUGAACGCUGGCGGCAGGCCUAACACAUGCAAGUCGAACGGUAACAGGAAGCAGCUUGCUGUUUUGCUGACGAGUGGCGGACGGGUGAGUAAUGUCUGGGAAACUGCCUGAUGGAGGGGGAUAACUACUGGAAACGGUAGCUAAUACCGCAUAACGUCGCAAGACCAAAGAGGGGGACCUUAGGGCCUC
rnacentral:rRNA from 1 species